UCAGGGAAAUGGGGAGAUUUUGUUAUAGGGCAGCCCCGAUACAAAACGGGGUGCCUGGCUGUGGGUCCUCACCCGCGCGCUUAAAAGGUCUUAUCAAUGCUCUACUGCAGGCACACGCGAAAGGUUCAUAAAAGGUUUAUUUACAAGGGAAGGGGAAAUGAGGAAAUGUACAGCUUAGGGAGAAAAGUGGGAGACAAAGUUUUAAAUAAGUCCUACCCGAUCCGCCGAUCUGGAAUCCCAAAUGGCACCCUGAGAGCUGGCUGCAAGCCAGGAGCUGUGAAACCAGGAGGCCAGCGACAGAGUGAGCCCCCCACCAAGGUCCACGUGUUUUUUUUUUAUACCCAACCUGGCUGCUUAACUCCACCCUCAGGUCCCUGCCACCUUCCCUUUGGUGGUGACGGGAUUUGUCUUUCCCAAUGUCCUGAUGGCUUUAGUCUGGAGUGGGAGUGGAGUCCACAAAGCCUGUAUGGGAUUAACUUAGGACAUCAUUUCCCCCUAACAAUUCCCCCCUUUCACUUUUUGCCACCAUUUCCAUGGUGAUGAAGAUCAAAUAUAUGGAUGCUAGGAUAUAGUCUCAGAUGAAACCCCCUAACAGUUUCAAGUCCCUAAUACUGGCCCUUUAGAUUUACUUAAUAGGAAAAAAAAGGGGUGACUGGGAUAGGUGGAUAUGGGACUGUGGUUCUGGCCUUUGACAUAUGGAGGCGCUUCAGCGCUAGAGCACAGCUUUCUUUCUUUUUUUAAAGAUUUAUUUAUUUAUACAAGAACCGGGGUACAGGCCAGAUGAGAGCACGGCUUUCUUAAUGGGGCGCCGGCCAUGCUUCUGUAACUUCCCAAGCAAGGAGAUAGGGAGCAGGACAUGAACAUGGCCUCCGCCGCUGACCGGUUAGCCCCCCAUUUAUUUGCAGUCGUCUCAAACCAGGUUGCAGGAAGGAAAUGCAUCUAGGCAGAGAAAUAGGAUGUAGGAGAUGUCCAAGAGAAGAAAGGGGCAUAUGUUUGCCUUGCCAGCGUCGACACGUGCCUACAGUGCCUUGUAGAUGACCUGCAGCGCCGAAGGACGCCUAAGAGAAAACUGCAGGAGUAGGAGGGAAGCAAUGCAGAAAUCAGAGUGCCAGGGGGGCGAGCAGCUGAGAAGCAGAGUGGCAGGUAACUGUGACCUCAGGACACCAUCAAGCACACAAGUAAAACACAGGACUACAGUUCAGCGAAGCAAAUCCUCAUCAUCAACCAGUUCUCCAGACUCUGCAAGAAAACUUCAUCCUCGACCAAGUGAUAAACUUAACCCUAAAACAAUUAACCCGUUUGGUGAACAGCCACGAGCCCCCUCUGCAUUUGCAGCUAUUUAUUCUAAAGGCGGUAUUCCUUGCAGAUUGGUCCAUGGCUCAGUAAAACACAGAUUGCAGUGGGAAUGUCCUCCUGAGAAUCUACCAUUUGACCCUCUUCUGAUUACUUUAGCUGAGGGUCUGCGAGAGACUAAGCAUCCCUACACCUUCGUGUCCAAGGAGGGCUUCCGAGAAUUACUUUUGGUCCAAGGUGCUCCGGAAAAAGCGGUGCCUUUGCUUCCUAGACUGAUUCCUGUGCUCAAGGCAGCUCUGGUCCAUUCGGAUGAUGAGGUGUUUGAAAGAGGAUUGAAUGCUUUGGUACAGCUCAGUGUCAUUGUUGGACCUUCUCUCAAUGACCACCUGAAACACCUGCUGACGAGUCUUUCCAAGAGACUGCGGGACAAGAAAUUCAAGGAGCCGAUCACCAGCGCCUUACAGAAGCUGGAGCAGCACGGGGGAGGAGGAAGCCUUAUCAUCAUCAAAUCUAAAAUUCCAACUUACUGCUCCAUCUGCUGCUGAGCACGGGGACCUCGGACGGCGGCCAGCACGGAGCAUGGGCGCCGCUGGCGCUGUCAGACUCACCUCACUAUUCACAUGAAAUCACCUCGACCAUUCACUAUUUGCUGGUUUUCGAUAAGUAUCUACAGUUGCACUAAAUCAUAGUUCAAGUUAUUCAUCAACAAAAAAGAAUGGCUAAUGAUGGAAGACAAUUAAAAGCAGUUCUGCAUAGUUCUGAGUGUUGGUGUAGUGGAAGCUAACGCAGUCUGAGAAAGGAAUAGAGGAAGAGAAAUAGAGAGCAAGACCCUCCACCUCCCAGGUCGGCGGGCGCCUGUGGACCACACCAAGCCUGAAGCAGAUCAGCGCUGCCAAAGGGGCAAGUGGAAGACACAGCCUCACAGCUGUAAUCAAAGAGGCAGAAAUGCUCAUCCUCUGAGCUCUGGCCCCCUUGUCUGUCACACAUUUCAUUCAGGUCUGUACUCACUCGCCACAUCCUCAGAGCCUAGGAUCUAAAAUAGCUGCCUGCCCGCUGGCCUGCUCUUGCUGUUUCUCACUGCACUUAGCACCACACAGUGAGGUCGCCAGUCCAGAAAAUGCCAGAAGCAAAGCAUGGUAUUUGUAAGCUAGUGAUUGUAAAGUGUUGGAAUAAAGAGCUAUAACAUAGUAUACUGAGUUAUAAACAUUUUAUUCGCUUUUUUUUUUUUUUGAAAUACAAAAUGUGCACGUUGAGUUUACACAAACACGCGAUGGCAGAUUUCAGUGUACAUGUAUUGUACUACUCUUAAUUUCUACACUGGUGCUAGCAGGGCAGCUUUCAUCAUCCUAUCUCUACACCAGAAUAGAUACCUGAUUUAUUGUUGCAAAGACAGUUACAAAUUUCCUCCUACUGAAGCCUCUUGGUGAUAUUUCAGCAAAACAGGGAAGGUGUGUAUGUCUUCAGUCAUGUGGCGACUUGCAAUUUUGACUUAAAAUCUUUCAAAAGAAAUGGAAUUAUAGGAAUUUUAUGAUGCGCUAAAUCAUAAUGUAGUCCAGAAGGGCUGUUUAGCACUUGUAUUCAUUUUCCAUGAUCUUUUGGCAUUGUAGUUUUCAACACGAUGGAAUUACUGGUGCUUUCAAAGUGAAUUCUGCUUGCUGGUCAUUCCUAGUAGGCAUGGGGUUAGUCAGGUUGCUUUGUUCCUGAUGGCACGUGACAAACGUGCUGUGAGGAGGGCAGAGGACAGACUAGGCCUUUAAUGCUGCUAAGAGUGACUUGUUUUUCAGCAUUACUCUGCUCUGACAGAUGUCCUGGAAACUUCCUUGCUUUGAUUCGUACCUUUUAGACUUUCAUUUAAUAACAAUAGAAGCCUCAGCCUAUAGGAUUAAACAAAUCCAAAAUUAUAUACAUUGUGCAGGCCUGUAAUGUAUAUUGUGAAAAAUUAAAUGCUCAUUAAAUAAACUUUAUGGUGCAUAUGCUGACAGCUGGCAGUAAGCUAAUUUAGUGUCAUUGAAAAAUGCCAGCUAAAUGGAUGUCUGUGACAGAAGGCAGCAGAUCCAUCAAAACUGGGACUGGGUGUGGGUUUGUUUUCUAAUUGUAGUAAUCUUGUUUAUGUAAAUGAAAUUAUAGCAUACAAGCGUGGAAACUAAUUUCUUGAAAUUAAGUGCAGAUGCCAAUAUUGUAAAAAACCAUUGAAACGCCCGGGGCUGAAUACUUACAGAUGAGUAGCAAAACACUGAUAUUUUCAAAUCACUCUUAACAUGAAAGCCUCAAUAGUCCCGUGGCUAGAGAAUCCAUAAAACUAUAUGCCAGGUUCUGUUACUUUUGAAUAUUCACAGGGUAUGAAAUGGUUUAGAACAUCCCAAGAACUCAGUGGCGUUAUGAAAAGGAUGCAAAUUUUUAACCAGAAAACUCAAAUCUUUUGGGGGUUGCUUUAUAUUAAAACAAAGCUUGUUUGCAUGAUAUGCCUCAGUGUAAGCUGAGCAGUCUAUGCUACAAGGGCAGCUCCAACUGUAAGUGCAGUAGAAUAGUUCACACCUCUCUGUCUGAUUGAGAAUCUAGCUGACAAGUUAAAUCACAUUUUCGAAGAGCUGCAUGGAGCGCAUUAUGUUUUCAUCCUGUAAGGGAGAAAUAGAGCGGGAUUAAACUCAGCGUAUCUGCAUCAUUGUUCACUGAAGUCUUUGAUUCUCUGCAAGUGAUUGACAAUAUAGACCUUUUGCAUUAAAAGCUUUUACAUCCUGCAGGAAGAAUUUGUCAUUGGGUUUAUCUGUU